UGCAAGUCGAACGUGAAGCUGGAGCUUGCUCCAGUGGAAAGUGGCAGACGGGUGAGUAACGCGUGGGAAUUUACCCAGUGGUUCGGAAUAACUUCGGGAAACGGGAGCUAAUACCGGAUACGCCCCCCUUUAGAGAUAUUGGGGGGGAAAGAUUUAUCGCCAUUGGAUGAGCCCGCGUCGGAUUAGCUUGUUGGUGAGGUAAAAGCUCACCAAGGCGACGAUCCGUAGCUGGUCUGAGAGGAUGAUCAGCCACACUGGGACUGAGACACGGCCCAGACUCCUACGGGAGGCAGCAGUGGGGAAUAUUGCACAAUGGGCGCAAGCCUGAUGCAGCCAUGCCGCGUGAGUGAUGAAGGCCUUAGGGUUGUAAAACUCUUUCGCCAGGGAAGAUAAUGACGGUACCUGGUAAAGAAGCCCCGGCCAACUCCGUGCCAGCAGCCGCGGUAAUACGGAGGGGGCUAGCGUUGUUCGGAAUUACUGGGCGUAAAGCGCGCGUAGGCGGGCUGGUCAGUUGGGGGUGAAAUCCCGAGGCUUAACCUCGGAACUGCCCUCAAUACUGCCAGUCUUGAGUUCGAGAGAGGUGAGUGGAAUUCCUAGUGUAGAGGUGAAAUUCGUAGAUAUUAGGAAGAACACCAGUGGCGAAGGCGGCUCACUGG
rnacentral:rRNA from 1 species